UACAGAGGGUGCGAGCGUUGUCCGGAAUUACUGGGCGUAAAGGGCUCGUAGGCGGCCAACUAAGUCAGACGUGAAAUCCCUCAGCUUAACUGGGGAACUGCGUCUGAUACUGGAUGGCUUGGAUUCGGGAGAGGAAUGCGGAAUUCCAGGUGUAGCGGUGAAAUGCGCAGAUAUCAGGAGGAACACCGGUGGCGAAGGCGGGUCUCUGGGCAACAACUGACGCUGAGGAGCGAAAGCGUGGGGAGCGAACAGG
rnacentral:rRNA from 1 species